UAGCUAGUUGGUGAGGUAACGGCCCACCAAGGCGACGAUCGGUAGCCGGACUGAGAGGUUGAACGGCCACAUUGGGACUGAGACACGGCCCAGACUCCUACGGGAGGCAGCAGUGGGGAAUAUUGCACAAUGGGGGAAACCCUGAUGCAGCGACGCCGCGUGGAGGAAGAAGGUCUUCGGAUUGUAAACUCCUGUUGUUGGGGAAGAUAAUGACGGUACCCAACAAGGAAGUGACGGCUAACUACGUGCCAGCAGCCGCGGUAAAACGUAGGUCACAAGCGUUGUCCGGAAUUACUGGGUGUAAAGGGAGCGCAGGCGGGAAGACAAGUUGGAAGUGAAAUCUAUGGGCUCAACCCAUAAACUGCUUUCAAAACUGUUUUUCUUGAGUAGUGCAGAGGUAGGCGGAAUUCCCGGUGUAGCGGUGGAAUGCGUAGAUAUCGGGAGGAACACCAGUGGCGAAGGCGGCCUACUGGGCACUAACUGACGCUGAGGCUCGAAAGUGUGGGUAGCAAACAGGAUUAGAUACCCUGGUAGUCCACACCGUAAACGAUGAUUACUAGGUGUUGGAGGAUUGACCCCUUCAGUGCCGCAGUUAACACAAUAAGUAAUCCACCUGGGGAGUACGACCGCAAGGUUGAAACUCAAAGGAAUUGACGGGGGCCCGCACAAGCAGUGGAGUAUGUGGUUUAAUUCGACGCAACGCGAAGAACCUUACCAAGUCUUGACAUCCCUUGACAGACAUAGAAAUAUGUAUUCUCUUCGGAGCAAGGAGACAGGUGGUGCAUGGUUGUCGUCAGCUCGUGUCGUGAGAUGUUGGGUUAAGUCCCGCAACGAGCGCAACCCUUAUGGUCAGUUACUACGCAAGAGGACUCUGGCCAGACUGCCGUUGACAAAACGGAGGAAGGUGGGGAUGACGUCAAAUCAUCAUGCCCUUUAUGACUUGGGCUACACGCGUACUACAAUGGCGUUAAACAAAGAGAAGCAAGACCGCGAGGUGGAGCAAAACUCAGAAACAACGUCCCAGUUCGGACUGCAGGCUGCAACUCGCCUGCACGAAGUCGGAAUUGCUAGUAAUCGUGGAUCAGCAUGCCACGGUGAAUACGUUCCCGGGCCUUGUACACACCGCCCGUCACACCAUGAGAGCCGGGGGGACCCGAAGUCGGUAGUCUAACCGCAAGGAGGACGCCGCCGAAGGUAAAACUGGUGAUUGGGGUGAAGUCGUACAAGGUAG
rnacentral:rRNA from 1 species